rnacentral:rRNA from 1 species
AUGCCAUUGCUCGACUCCUCCCUUCUAUUGGAAAAUGGUGCUCUUCUAUAUCACUCUUCAUCUUCAAAAAAAAUAGUUAUUUUGUUUUUAUGUUCCUUUGGUUAUACCAUGCUUAGAUAUGUAAGCAUACCAAUAGCUUGGCAUUUACCUCCUGGUUAUGCCAAAAACUUUAUAAUAUUCGAUUUGAAUAAUUUUGUUGCAGUGUCAUGUAGUAUUAUUCUUGUGAGAAUUCAGUUGCCAGAACUCUCUGUUUCUGAUGGUUUUCAACCAUGUUCGACUACUUUGCAAAUUAUUUUGUUCCUGCUGCUACAACAUAAGAAGAGAUAA